GAGUCUACAAACAUUGACAAAUCUGAAACCCCAUUAAAAAAUGACAUAGAAGCUAAUGAUAGUGAAACUGAAAGCCUUAAAGAAACAACUAAUCCAACGGUUGAUUU